UACGGGGGGGGCAAGCGUUGUUCGGAAUUACUGGGCGUAAAGCGUGCGCAGGCGGCCUUCCAAGUCAGGGGUGAAAGCCCAGAGCUCAACUCUGGAAUUGCCUUUGAGACUGUGAGGCUUGAGUACGGGAGAGGUGAGUGGAAUUCCCAGUGUAGAGGUGAAAUUCGUAGAUAUUGGGAAGAACACCGGUGGCGAAGGCGGCUCACUGGCCCGUAACUGACGCUCAUGCACGACAGCGUGGGGAUCAAACAGG
rnacentral:rRNA from 1 species